rnacentral:rRNA from 1 species
AUUGAACGCUGGCGGCAUGCCUUACACAUGCAAGUCGAACGGUAACGGGCCUUCGGGUGCCGACGAGUGGCGAACGGGUGAGUAAUGUAUCGGAACGUACCUUUCAGUGGGGGAUAACGUAGCGAAAGUUACGCUAAUACCGCAUAUUCUGUGAGCAGGAAAGCAGGGGAUCGCAAGACCUUGCGCUGAUUGAGCGGCCGAUAUCAGAUUAGCUAGUUGGUGAGGUAAAGGCUCACCAAGGCGACGAUCUGUAGCGGGUCUGAGAGGAUGAUCCGCCACACUGGAACGGAGAAACGGUCCAGACUCCUACGGGAGGCAGCAGUGGGGAAUUUUGGACAAUGGGGGCAACCCUGAUUCAGCCAUGCCGCGUGAGUGAAGAAGGCCUUCGGGUUGUAAAGCUCUUUCGGCCGGGAAGAAAUCGUAUCAGCUAAUACCUGGUGCGGAUGACGGUACCGGCAUAAGAAGCACCGGCUAACUACGUGCCAGCAGCCGCAGUAACAC